rnacentral:misc_RNA from 1 species
GAGCAGGGAUUGGAAGACGAGGAGGGUCUUGUUUCACAAAGAGGAUUGAUUGCUUUGGCACAGGGCUGUCUUGAACUGGAAUACUUAGCUGUCUAUGUGUCGGAUAUCACGAAUUCAUCUCUCGAAUGCAUCGGCACAUACUCGAAAAAUCUCUGUGAUUUUCGCCUCGUCCUGCUGGAUCGAGAAGUGAGGAUAACAGAUUUGCCACUCGACAAUGGAGUUCAAGCUCUGUUGAGAGGAUGCUCUGAGAAGCUGAAGAGAUUUGCUUUGUAUCUUCGGCCCGGUGGAUUGACAGACGUUGGUCUUGGUUAUAUUGGAAGGUAUAGCCCAAAUGUGAGAUGGAUGCUUCUUGGUUACGUGGGGGAAUCUGAUGCUGGGCUAUUGGAAUUCUCUCGUGGCUGCCCCAGCCUGCAGAAGCUUGAGGUUAGAGGGUGCUGCUUUAGUGAGCAAGCAUUGGCAGCCUCCGUGAUGCAACUAACUUCCCUCAGGUACCUUUGGGUUCAAGGCUACAGAGGGUCCUCUUCAGGCCGUGAUCUUCUCGCAAUGGCCCGCCCGUUCUGGAACAUCGAAUUGAUUCCAUCAAGACGAGUCGUAGUUCCCGAUCAAGUCGGGGAGAUGGUGGUGGCUGAGCACCCUGCUCAUAUACUUGCAUACUACUCCCUAGCAGGACCAAGAACUGAUUUUCCAGACAGCGUCGUGCCAUUGGAUUCGUCGUCCUUGAUCUCUGCAUAGGGCUUAUGGGGAUGUAUAUACAACAACAAUAUCAACAACGACGACAAGGACAACAACAAGAAUCUCUUCCUUUGUUCUUGCACUUCUCCAUUUUGCCACGUUCCUGUUAAUAGAAUUGAAGGUUACAAAUUUGCGGUUAGGAUCAAUUGUGUUUCGAAUGUCAUUUUGUUGUGGUGGUAUCAUAU